rnacentral:rRNA from 1 species
UACAGAGGUCUCAAGCGUUGUUCGGAUUCAUUGGGCGUAAAGGGUGCGUAGGCGGCGCGGUAAGUCGGGUGUGAAAUCUCGGAGCUUAACUCCGAAACUGCAUUUGAUACUGGCGUGCUUGAGGACUGGAGAGGAGACUGGAAUUCACGGUGUAGCGGUGAAAUGCGCAGAUAUCAGGAGGAACACCGGUGGCGAAGGCGGGUCUCUGGGCCGAUAUUGACGCUGGAGGAGCGAAAGCGUGGGGAGCGAGCAGG